CAAAAACAUUAAUUUCGAAUGACUGCUCGUGCGUUCCUCUCACGCCACACUGUCGAAUAAAUAAAAUAAAUACAUAUUGUACACGUUAGAAAAAUCAGGAACAUCGUGUGAAUUAUCGUGGAAAAAUAUUUUCUUCGGGAAAUGUAAUUAUGUACUUGGUGGUGUUGCCAGCGUGCAGCUAGCUGAUCUUCAUGCGUUUCGUGGGAUCCGACGGGCUGACGCAGCCCAGCUUCGCUGUCAUCGACGAGUUGCCGUUGCACAUCGCCUCGCUGCCAUACACGCUCAUAUUGUUCAACAUAAUAUCCUGCUUCUGUAAUUUAAAGUAGAACAACGAAAAAACACAUUAAGCAUAUACGAGGUCUAUUCAGCUUACAAUUCCUUCGACCAUCACUGCGAUUGGAACAAUUCCUGUAGCCUCGGCGACUUGAUGUUCAAUCAAAUAAAACAUGUACUCGUCAUAAAGCAACCUAAUGAGGUGGAACGAACCGAAACUCGCCGCUGAUCGAAGUGUCAAAUCUCGAAUCACCAUUGAACUAGAUUUACAAACAUAAUGAAAUAUAAUGUAUCUAUAUUAUAAUGAAAAACAUAUAAAUAUUCACCUGUAAAAA